UCCAUCAAGCAUUUUCCAGGACCACUGAAGCAAUCUAUGCAAAACCAUGGUUGAACAUCACUAACUACACAAGUAGCCUUCCUCUUGUGUUCUGCUUAUCCAGGUAAAAAAGAAAAGACUACAUGUCUUUUUUUGCUAGCAUGUCUUAAAAUGUACUAUUAUAUAAUUUUCUUAGUUUUUUAAUAAUUUCACCCAUCUAUAAAAGUAUAAACAGAGGACAAGAACAUAUAUCACACCUUUUGUGCUUCUUUACACCUCAACAGAGAACCAAGCAGGGCCUUGAUUAUCGGUGGUUCCACUACGAUUCAGGCCAAGUUUCUCAUGAUAAAGUCAAGGAGCUUUGCUGCUUUGCAAGCCAUUCCAUCUCCUUAGCGGAGACCGGCCACUAUUGUCCGGGCAUGUGUGGGUGAACUUAAUUUGAAAUAUAAUCAUUUAUUUUGAGAACAAUUUCACAUUCACAUACUAUUAAAUAAUAUUAAGUGUUUAGAGGACAUUUAGCAGAAAAUACACAUUUACAUACUUUCUCUUCCAGAUAUAAGUAAUUUAUUUCAAAAUACAAAAUAAGUUAAACGCCCAAGAUGUUUGAAUCAGUGAAUUACGCAAAUAUUUAAGAAUGAGAAAUCAUGGAGUAUGUUAUAAUACUCAAGUGCUUGUUACAUUCAACAUUUUACGGGAAAAAAGUAAAUUAAAUAUUUGCAAGAGAAUUAAUAGCAAAAAACGGAGCAAAUGUGUUCCAAAUUUUAAUUUUAAUAAAGCAAGUAAUGCUAUUGUAUUAGUUCUGGAAACAAAACGUAAUUUUCUCAUGAUGCAGACGCAGCAAACCGAUGAUUCCAAGUGUCUGUUAGCAGAAGGGGAGAGUGAAGAAGAAUAGAGAGUAUGAAGUGAUUUGCUUUGCUAUGAGGAGGUUAUGCAGGAAGCGGAACCAAGAGCGGUGAUGUUUGCAGAAACACAAGAGAAAGACUUCAAAUGGCAUCUUGAAAAGGAAUGAGAGCUGGCAAUUGGAGCAAACACAGCAACGACAACAAAAGUAAUCAAGGAAGAUGAGUAGGAUAGGCUUGUGAAACUGAGC
rnacentral:lncRNA from 1 species